AUCACCAAAGAGCUCGGGGUGUAAGGUCUGGGGCUGGGAAAAUAGGGUCUUUCCUGAUCCCACCAGCCGAGUUGGACAAAACAACCCAGAACUGCCGAGCCACAUCCUGCUGGACAAUAGCUGCCACCCUGGGACCCACCAGAGCAUCCUGUUGUGCUGAUGGCCAAUAAAUAACCACCGGAGACUUCUCAAGAUGGCCAGGGUGCAGCUGCACCAACUUCCCGCUCAUCAAUCACCCGCCACAAGCUACCUCAGAUAAACCUGAUUGGUCCAACAGCAGCAUAAAAAAUCUCUGCCAGGCAUA